GGAUAUGAAGAUCUCUGUGACUCCUGCAGAGUUAAGUGGAGAGCACAACAUGGAGUAAGACCAGGGAAGAGGGGCCGGAAGCAGGGAUGCUGGGAGUCUGCAGGAAUAGAUGCCUCUGAGGAUGGACUGGGGUGCCCAGGUGUGCGUGCCCGUGCACGCAGGAUAAAGGCUGCACAACCCUCUGGAGGAGAAAGAAGCCCAGGAUGCAGAGUCCAAGGGGAGUGAGCAGAGGAGGAGCUCAGAGGCCUCUCAGAGACAUCUACAGUUGACAAAAAUGACUCCUGCAAGAUAAUUGGAGACUGGAGGUGACUGGGGCUGCUGGGCACGAGCGGGGCCAUCACACCAC